rnacentral:rRNA from 1 species
GAUGAACGCUGGCGGCGUGCCUAAUACAUGCAAGUCGAGCGAACGGACGAGAAGCUUGCUUCUCUGAUGUUAGCGGCGGACGGGUGAGUCACACGUGGAUAACCUACCUAUAAGACUGGGAUAACUUCGGGAAACCGGCGCUAAUACCGGAUAAUAUUUUGAACCGCAUGGUUCAAAAGUGAAAGACGGUCUUGCUGUCACUUAUAGAUGGAUCCGCGCUGCAUUAGCUAGUUGGUAAGGUAACGGCUUACCAAGGCAACGAUGCAUGGCCGACCUGAGGGGGUGAUCGGCCACACUGGAACUGAGACACGGUCCAGACUCCUACGGGAGGCAGCAGUAGGGAAUCUUCCGCAAUGGGCGAAAGCCUGACGGAGCAACGCCGCGUGAGUGAUGAAGGUCUUCGGAUCGUAAAACUCUGUUAUUAGGGAAGAACAUAUGUGUAAGUAACUGUGCACAUCUUGACGGUACCUAAUCAGAAAGCCACGGCUAACUACGUG